rnacentral:misc_RNA from 1 species
AACGCACAUUGCGCCUCCUGGUAUUCCGGGAGGCAUGCCUGUUCGAGCGUCAUUAAAAUCAUCUCAAGCUCCUUUGCUUGGUCAUGGAAGAUGAGUCUGCCUGGCAGUCUCCCCUCCGAAAUACAAUGGCGGAAGGUCACUGGUAUCCGGCGUAGUAUUAACGUUCGCUUGGUAUCCAGAGUCGUUCCUGCCCCAUAACCCCCUUUCUCAUGAUUGACCUCGGAUCAGGUAGGGAUACCCGCUGAACUUAA